GUCGAGGCAUUAACACAGACACUUGUCGUUCAGUCAGUCAGACAGUCAUCAGUUGGACUUGAUGGAGCUCCGUCCACUCUGUGUGAUGUUCUUGCUGACUGAACUCAUCCUCCGUACACAAACAGGUGAUUUAGAGAAACCUAAACCUGUGGUGAUUAUAAAGCCUGAUCAACACGUGUUCAGAGGAGAGACUGUGACAUUCAUAUGUGAGAUAAAGAGUGCAA